GAAUGGUCUCUGGGAGAUGGCAGCAAGGAGGGUUUCAGUCCCGCCUCACUCCACCCUACCCUGGACAGAGUGACUCAGCACUUCCUAUUAUUAUGAAGGCCAACCCCAAGAGGCCCUACCAAGGCUGACUGAGGCGCCAGCAACUGUUCUCCUCCUGGCUCCUGGUUCAUUCUAGGUCUGUAAAGCAAAAGGUUGUCUCAGAAGGGGUGUGUGGAACUCAUUCUAGUGUUUGAGGUGCCUUUACUACUUUUGAUUUUUUUUUUUUUACUUGAGCCAACAUCUGGAACUGGUCAGGCUUUGGGUUGAUGCCAGAUGCUCUAUCUGAUAGGAUUGUCUCAUGAUAAUUAACGUUUAUUGGUGAUCGUUGGGCGCCUGACAUUGUGUGAAGAACUUUAUGAGGACAUCUUAUGUAACUCUCAGAAGCUGACCGCAAGCCCUGGUCGCUCAUGUAGCACAGUGCCUGAAGUAGAGGAUUCUCCCAGCAUGCUCCUUCAUGUAGUGUCCUGCAUUCCCUGUGGUGGCCAGAAAUCUGCUUCCAUUAAGAGGACAUGAAGGGAGCCGAGCGAGCCCAGGGCUAUGCCAGG
rnacentral:lncRNA from 1 species